UUUCCGGUUGAUCCUGCCGGAGGUCACUGCUAUCGGGGUUCGAUUAAGCCAUGCGAGUCGAGAGGGUUCGGCCCUCGGCGUAUUGCUCAGUAACACGUGGACAACCUGCCCUGAGGUGGGGGAUAACUCCGGAAAACUGGAGAUAAUACCCCAUAGCCUACGAAUGCUGGAAUGCUUUGUAGGUAAAAGGUCCGCCGCCUCAGGAUGGGUCUGCGGCCGAUUAGGUUGUUGUUGGGGUAACGGCCCAACAAGCCUGUAAUCGGUACGGGUUGUGGGAGCAAGAGCCCGGAGAUGGAUUCUGAGACACGAAUCCAGGCCCUACGGGGCGCAGCAGGCGCGAAAACUUUACAAUGCAGGAAACUGUGAUAAGGGAACCCCGAGUGCCUGUAUGGACAGGCUGUUCAGGUGCGUAAAAAACACCUGGAGAAAGGGCCGGGCAAGACCGGUGCCAGCCGCCGCGGUAAUACCGGCGGCUCGAGUGGUGGCCACUAUUACUGGGCUUAAAGCGUCCGUAGCUGGGUAGUUAAGUCUCUGGGGAAAUCUUCCGGCUCAACCGGAAGGCGUCUCAGGGAUACUGGCUGCCUUGGGAUCGGGAGAGGUGAGAGGUACUCCGGGGGUAGGAGUGAAAUCCUGUAAUCCCCGGGGGACCACCGAUGGCGAAGGCAUCUCACCAGAACGGCUCCGACAGUGAGGGACGAAAGCUGGGGGGAGCAAACCGGAUUAGAUACCCGGGUAG
rnacentral:rRNA from 1 species